UUUAGGCAGCUGCCUAUGAGCGCCGGCCACUGGAGGGCGGCAGAACACACUGAUGAGAAAAUGCUGUCUCUACAAAUCUGUCGCCCCCCACCUCCGUGAUAGCGCCUCACAUAUUCACUUGAGGGCUCAGGCAUGUUGCCUGCACCCUUACCACCCCCCAAUCCCCAGGGCCAGGGCACUUUUAUUUUCCCUUUGCAGCCACAUGCUGCAGUGUGCUCAUACAGAAGCCGACGCUCUGCUGAGUUUGCUUCCUGCAUGGACAGGAACAGGAAGUCACGUGGUGCACUGCACAUGUGACUGUGAGAGAGGAGAGGAGAGGAGCCUUCAGACGUGAGGAGCAGCAGCCCAGCAGGUCUAUCAGAAAGCCAUACCAUACGGGGGAGCACAGACUAAGGAGCAUGAAGCAGGAGGAUAUCCAGAUGGUAGAUUGACAAUAACAUGAUCGACAGUGAAUAAAUCGACAGAUAUUCAAUCCAAAGUCUCCAUCCCACUAAACAUUUUUUUUUCAAUACCUACAAAUUCGACACUUCCAUUCUACGCUAUUGUCACAGCUUAAUCAAAGAUCCCUUACUACAUUAGAAGAUCUCGCCCUACACAGGGACUCGACUAAAGGGCUUAUUGCCGCAAUCUAUGCAUCACUUUUGCUGCCCUCACAGGUGGACAGAGAUCUCCACGAAAGAGCGUGGGAAACAGAUUUAGGAGAAACACUAGAUAAUGAUGAAUGGACUGAUAUUUACUCAAAUCUAGCGUCGAACUCCAUUUGUGUACGAGCAAAAGAAAAUGCAUAUAAGCUUUUUUAUAGAAGGUAUUAUGUCCCUACUCGUCUUAACAAAUUGUACCCUGAAAUAUCUCCCUUAUGUUGGAGGUGCAACACAUCGGAUGGAACAUUUUCACAUAUUUGGUGGGGUUGCUCUAAAUUAUUUUCUUUAUGGAAAGAAUUAGGGUCUUUGACUAAUUCCAUUUUAGAUAUUCAGAUUCCUCUAUGCCCUAAAUAUUUUCUUCUUGCUGUGUUUGUCCCUGAGGCUUCUCGAUGCUUCUCGAUGUCAAAAAAAAUUAUACACCUAUAUAGUUCUGGUGGCUAGAUGAGUCAUAGCCUCGGCUUGGAAAUAUACGGAGGUACCUACCAUGGGGGAAAUUAUAGGCAAAAUUUGGCACAUUCACUCACUGUUUUAGUCUAUGAAAACAAUUACCUGUGCAUGGCAAACACCUAAUGAGACCACAAAUGUAUAAUGGCUCAAUCUGAUGUACUGAUCUCCCCAGUGACGUAUUUAUAAUUGGUGCAGUGUUUGCUGUGCACACGGGCAAACGGGGUCCAGGGGGGCCCACACCACACAUCCUGCACCAAUUUUUUUCAAUACUUACCCUCAGGAGUCCCACGUCGGCAGCAGCAGCGCUGCAGGAAUCACCAGGAAAAUGGUGCCGUGGCCAUUUUCCCCGCGUUUCACAUAUGUGCAGUAAGAAAAUAUCUGGGAAAAUGCCCGCAGUGCCAUUUUCCCGGAGACCUGCGCAUGUGCAUUAGACUCUGGGACAGCGCUAGGGUCCCCUAGUGGCCCUAGUGCCCAAAGUCUACAGCGCUGCCGGCAAGAGAGGAGGGGGCCCAGACGGAUCCUGCACAGGGGCCUCCUCCUCUCUUGAUACUCCCCUGCAUCUCCCUAAUGCUGGGUCAGAGCAAUUAUUGGAUCAGUGUGUACCUAUAUACACUAAGCAAGUUCUAGCUCAGUGUGUACUUCCUCAAGAUCUCUUCAACAGAAUUGGGAGACUGGGAGUGAAGCAGCAUGUGAACUUGUGAAGCACACCAGAUACCAACCUCCAAAUCUGACCAUUGCUGGACCGCAUAAAGCCAUUUACCAGCUAAAGGCCAAUACUCACGGCCCGAUGCUGGAAAGAUGUGUGCUGAGCGAACCGCUCAGCACAC